rnacentral:rRNA from 1 species
GAUGAACGCUGGCGGCGUGCUUAACACAUGCAAGUCGAACGGAAAGGCCCAAGCUUGCUUGGGUACUCGAGUGGCGAACGGGUGAGUAACACGUGGGUGAUCUGCCCUGCACUUCGGGAUAAGCCUGGGAAACUGGGUCUAAUACCGGAUAGGACCACAUUUUGGAUGGUGUGGUGGAAAGUUUUUCGGUGUGGGAGGAGCUCGCGGCCUAUCAGCUUGUUGGUGGGGUAAUGGCCUACCAAGGCGUCGACGGGUAGCCGGCCUGAGAGGGUGUACGGCCACAUUGGGACUGAGAUACAGCCCAGACUCCUACGGGAGGCAGCAGUGGGGGAUAUUGCACAAUAGGCGCAAGCCUGAUGCAGCGACGCCGCGUGGGGGAUGACGGCCUUCGGGUUGUAAACUCCUUUCGCUAGGGACGAAGCGUUUUUGUGACGGUACCUGGAGAAGAAGCACCGGCUAACUACGUG